rnacentral:rRNA from 1 species
GAUGAACGCUGGCGGCGUGCCUAAUACAUGCAAGUCGAGCGAACAGACGAGGAGCUUGCUCCUUCGACGUUAGCGGCGGACGGGUGAGUAACACGUAGGUAACCUACCUAUAAGACUGGGAUAACUUCGGGAAACUGGAGCUAAUACCGGAUAAUAUUUCGAACCGCAUGGUUCGAUAGUGAAAGAUGGCUUUGCUAUCACUUAUAGAUGGACCUGCGCCGUAUUAGCUAGUUGGUAAGGUAACGGCUUACCAAGGCAACGAUACGUAGCCGACCUGAGAGGGUGAUCGGCCACACUGGAACUGAGACACGGUCCAGACUCCUACGGGAGGCAGCAGUAGGGAAUCUUCCGCAAUGGGCGAAAGCCUGACGGAGCAACGCCGCGUGAGUGAUGAAGGUCUUCGGAUCGUAAAACUCUGUUAUUAGGGAAGAACAAACGUGUAAGUAACUGUGCACGUCUUGACGGUACCUAAUCAGAAAGCCACGGCUAACUACGUG